rnacentral:rRNA from 1 species
UACGGAGGGGGCUAGCGUUGUUCGGAAUUACUGGGCGUAAAGCGCACGUAGGCGGCUUUGUAAGUUAGAGGUGAAAGCCCGGGGCUCAACUCCGGAACUGCCUUUAAGACUGCAUCGCUAGAAUUGUGGAGAGGUGAGUGGAAUUCCGAGUGUAGAGGUGAAAUGCGCAGAUAUCGGGAGGAACACCAAUGGCGAAGGCAGCUCGCUGGGACGUUACUGACGCUGAGACGCGAAAGCGUGGGGAGCAAACAGG